CGCACCAGCUCUGUCCCUCCGCCGGCUACGAGAGCCGCCCUUGGAGCUCCCACACGGCAGAGCAGAAACCGGCAUCCUCGGCCUCUCGAGACGCUGCUCUACUCGCCCCACUUGGCGGCACCGCGGGCCGCUGUCUCUCUGCCAGCGCCGAGCAGGAAGGUUCUGGGAGCGACACAGUGGAAGGGAGCAGCUUCCUCCGUCAGGGGGGGCCCCGGUGCCGCCGGCGGGCCUCACCCUGCACCCCGUGACCUCUCCGGCCCACUGACCGCGGCUUCCUGCUGUGCUGUGCGUCCUUGAGGACGGUCCCGCGUCACUGCGGAGUCACUGCGGAACGGGUGGGGAAGGACGCGCCCUCCCGGGGCCGCGCAUGGCCCCAAGCGGGUCAGUUGUCCCUACCCUCAGGGGUGGGGCCUCGACCCUGGACCCUGACGUUCCUUAUUCUUUGUCUCAGGCGUUCCUGGUUCCUGUCGGUACCUGGGGGAGGCUCCGAGAGCCCGGGGUCUCGGGUCAGUGCAGAAGCCCCUCUGGGCCCCUCCUCCACCUCCGGAUCUCGCCUCUGGGUCACGAAGCUGUCACAGAGCUGCAGGACCAGGACCAAAGUGCUGACAAAGAUGUGCCGCAGAGGGGAGGAAGCAGAGGCUGGACGGCCGGAGAAAGGGGCCUGAAUCCGUCUGCCCAGCCAGGCGGAGCUCCUCCUGGGGCCUCGCUCACAGGCUUAGCCUCUGGGACCUGGGGGCGCGGCGAGGUCCACGCUGAGUUCCCAGGCAGGGAACCUCCAUGCCUGACGGGAAACGUGGGGGAGUGGCGGGCAGCUUGGGUGUGGGACAUGGGCCUGGGCCGGCGGUGGGCCCGCUGGCUUCUGGAGGGGCAGGACACCCCGGUCACGUGCACCUGACUUCCCAGGACGAAGGCAGAAGUUACAAAACACCAACAGCCAGGACUGGGGACGGAAACUCUGCUGAGCUCCGCGGCACCGGGAUGUCUCUUCUCCGGGGUAUCUGGGCUGUGUGUGGUCGUAUGAACAACUUACAGCUGCGGCUCGUUGAGAAUAGAUUCUAGAACGAAGCCCAAGAACCACUUCUAGUCCAUAAACGUCUGCACGGGCUGGGCUGGGCAGGCUGUUCCCUCUCUGCACGUCCUACACAGAAGCGGCCUAGAGAGACGUCCCACUGCGUGAGCGUGCGUGUGUGUGUGUGUGGUGCGUGUGCGCGUGUGCGUGUGCGUGUGCGUGUGUGGGGUUCAUGUGCCUCACUCACUCCCUCAGUAAUGUUUGCUGAGUGAUUAUCAGGUCUUAGGAACUGAGGACACGCAUCUGAUAAGAAUGACCAAGUCCUUCUCAUGAGGUUGGUGUUCUGGUGACUAAGAUUUCAGCCAUUUGGGGACCUGGAGCAGAAAUUACAGGGAAGAAGAAUCUAUUGGGGCCCAAACCAUCUGUGCUUACAGAUAAUUUCUGGACUAUCAGUGAAACAAGGGGUCCUUACCGCAGCCAAACGUGGGUGGGCCUCGACUUCCCUCUCGGACGCACCCACUCUUCUGAGCACUCGCUCGAUACUUCCCCAAAUGAUGAUAUUUCACCCAAAAGAAAGUGACACAAAAUACGGUUUAGAAGAAAUUUUUCUUAUGGUCUGAA